AAAGUCGUAACAAGGUUUCCGUAGGUGAACCUGCGGAAGGAUCAUUAAAAGCUGUUUUUUUGAUGAUUCGGAUCGUUGGGCCUGUUCGCAUCGCUCGGGGGUGCCGCCAACGGGCCGAGACAUGGAACGCCACAAAUUUUUUUGUGAAUUUUUUUGUGAAUUUUUGUGAAACAUAUUUGAAGCGUAAAUGAAAAACUUUUGACAACGGAUCUCUUGGCUCUC
rnacentral:misc_RNA from 1 species